CUGACAAGUGUGUGGACCAUCCAAGCUCCUGCACUCCAUUGUAUGUUUAUCAUUCAAUCAUAAACCCUCCACUUGCACUUAGGGUAAUACUUACACAAUCCAAUGAUCUUGUUACUGUCAUUUUUCUUGUAACGGAAAACAAAAUUAUUCUCAAUGGCAUAAUCUCUCAAAUGGUCCCUGCAAGCAUAUAUAUCUACCCAUGUUUGUUCCACAUUCAAUACCAAUCUUUUUCCAUCAUUAUUAUAAUUUUCUUCAUCUUCCUCCAACUGACCUGUCCUCCUAAUAAAAUCCCCAUCUUCUCCUUCUAAGUUAAUACCAUCAUUAUUUUGUUGAUGUGAGGCACUUGUCCCCUCACGAGCAUUACUUGCUUGAGAAGCAUUUUUUUUUAUGGGAGGGAUUGGAGCAUCUACCUCUGGCUCAUCUUCUUCACUUUCAGAUUCAGAAAUGCAGUAUUCUUCAUCCGAAGCAUCAAGCUGGUCUAUAUCAAAUUUCUUGCCAAGCAAUUCUACAGUUAUAUGGUCAUCUUCAAAUUCUUUCCCUGCACAAUUAAUGAGAAAAGAAAGUUAGUCCCAUUUCACAAAUAUGCUUGGGGGGUUAAAUCAAAUACACUCAACAACACAUUUUUUCUACCUCCUUCCAAUGGAUUUCCUGGUUCUUCAGAAAAUACAUGUUCAUCCCCUACUCCUUGGUUUCCAGCAGUAGCUACAAUAAAAUUUCAUUAAGUUAAUAUCACUAUUGAUGCACAUGUAUUAGUUGGGAGGUUAAAUCAAAUACACUCAACAACACAUUUUUUCUACCUCCUUCCAAUGGAUUUCCUGGUUCUUCAGAA
rnacentral:lncRNA from 1 species